AGAUUGAACGCUGGCGGAAUGCUUUACACAUGCAAGUCGAACGGCAGCACGGGGGCAACCCUGGUGGCGAGUGGCGAACGGGUGAGUAAUACAUCGGAACGUGCCCAGUCGUGGGGGAUAACGCAGCGAAAGCUGUGCUAAUACCGCAUACGAUCUACGGAUGAAAGCGGGGGAUCGCAAGACCUCGCGCGAUUGGAGCGGCCGAUGGCAGAUUAGGUAGUUGGUGGGGUAAAGGCUCACCAAGCCUGCGAUCUGUAGCUGGUCUGAGAGGACGACCAGCCACACGUGGGACUGACGACGACGGCCCAGACCUCCGUACGGGAGCAGCGAGGUGGGAAUUUGGACAAGUGGGACAAGCCUGACUCCGAGCCAGUUCCGCGGU
rnacentral:rRNA from 1 species